rnacentral:rRNA from 1 species
UUAUGAAUUUAAUUAUUUAUUUAUUUUGAUAGAAUUAUUUUUUAAUUUAUUAGUUUAAUAGAAAAAUUUGUUUUUAUUAUAGUUUAUUAGUAAAGUGAUUGAAUUUUUUAUAUUUAAAAAAGUAUAAUUUAUUUUUUGUACCUUGUGUAUCAGGGUUUAUUUAUUAAAAGUUUAUUAUAAAAUUUUCUCGAAUUAAAAAGUUCUAAUUAAUUAUAUGUUUAAUUUUUUCAUAAAUUUUCUUAAUUUUUAGUUAGAAAUGAAACGUUAUUCGUUUUUUAAUAUAUCUAGUUUUUUAAGAAAAGAAUUUAAUUCUCUUAUUAUUUAUUUAUUAAUUAAUUUUUAAUUAAUAAAUUUUAGUAUGAAAUAUUUAAAGGGAUGAGCUUUUAUUUAUAUAAUUAAAAAUUUUAUUUUUAUUUAUUUUUUGUAUAAUUUAGAUUGUUAAUCAUAUGAAUAAUUUAAUAUUUAAUUUUAUUAUAUUUAAUUUGAUUUAUAUUAGUUUUAGUUUUUAUAUUAAAAAUUUUUGUUUAAUUUUGUUUCUUUAGUAAUAAUGAUAAAAUUAGUAGAUUAAUAUGUAUAUAGUGUUAGAUUUUUUAGGUAAUAAAAAGGAACUCGGCAAAUUAAUUUUCUGCCUGUUUAUUAAAAACAUGUCUUUUUGAUAAUAAUUUAAGGUUUAAUCUGCUCAAUGAAUAGUUAAAUUGCCGCAGUAUUUUGACUGUGCAAAGGUAGCAUAAUAAUUAGCUUUUUUAUUGGGAGCUGGAAUGAAUGAUUGGACAAGAAAAUUUCUGUCUCUUUAUUAUUUUUUUUUGAAUUUUACUUUUAAGUUAAAAGGCUUAAAUUUUUUUAAAAGACGAGAAGACCCUAUAGAGUUUAAUUUUUUAUUAUUUAGGAUUUAUUAGAAUUUAAGUAAUUUUAUUUAUUCAAAAAUUUGGUUGGGGUGACUGAAAGAUAAAAUUAACUCUUUUAAUUAUAAUCAAUUAUGUUUGAAUUUGAAAUCUAUAUUUAUAAGUUUAAAGUAAAUUACCUUAGGGAUAACAGCGUAAUUUUUUUUUAGAGUUCUUAUUAAAAGAAAAGUUUGCGACCUCGAUGUUGGAUUAAAAUUUAUUUUAGGUGUAGAAGCUUAAAUAUUAAGUCUGUUCGACUUUUAAAAUUUUACAUGAUCUGAGUUUAAACCGGUGUGAGCCAGGUUGGUUUCUAUCUUUAAAUAUUUAAUAUAUUUUAGUACGAAAGGACCAGGUAUAUAAUAAAUUAUUUUUUAAUUGAAUGUUAUU